GAUUAACGCUGGCGGCGUGCCUAACACAUGCAAGUCGAACGAGGUAGCAAUACCUAGUGGCAGACGGGUGAGUAACGCGUGGUCAACCUACCGUUGAGUGGGGGAUAACUAGCCGAAAGGUUAGCUAAUACCGCAUACGUCUCCGGAGGGGCAUCCCUUGGCGAUAAAAGGAGCAAUCCGCUCGAUGACGGGACCGCGUCCCAUUAGCUAGAUGGUGGGGUAACGGCCUACCAUGGCACCGANGGGUAGCUGGUUUGAGAGAGCGACCAGCCACACUGGGACUGAGAAACGGCCCAGACUCCUACGGGAGGCAGCAGUGGAGGUAAUUUUCCGCAAUGGGGCGCAAGCCUGACGGAGCGACGCCGCGUGUGGGAAGAAGGCC
rnacentral:rRNA from 1 species